UAUCAUCUUGUGUGCUUACAAAAACCUUGCUUUCUAUAGUAAAUGUGAAGUUAACAGGAGUUUAAGUUCUGUAAUAUAAAAGGAAUUUAAACUAAAUGCCCAUUUUUUUGUUGUGUUUUGAUUUUUCUAGUACUAGAGAUGGAUCCAGGGUCUCACACACGUCAGGCAACACUCUAUGCACUUCUGCUGCCAUGAUAACUGUAGUGCUAUUACUAGUCCAGACACGUUUGCGUAUCUCUUUCCAGGACAGAGCCGUGUCAAUUAUUAGAACUGAAGCCUACCGUAACAAACCAGGACAAUUCAAAGAGGUAACUGAAAAAUUCCAUUUAUAUUUAUCAACGAGGUAAAUAAAACAUAUGCUCAUAUGCUCACUGCCCACUGGAUUUUCUCAUUAAUCAAAUAUCCAUCAGGUUCUUUUCUCAACUGGUGAGUUUUUUUUAAUGUAGCUUUGAAAGACUAUGUUGUAUACAGAUGAUGGUUACUUACUGUGUGUUGUUUGUACCUGUUACAAUUUUAAAUUUAUCACCUAUCUUUAACUUUAUGGUGAUUCUGAAUGUAACACCUUUCAAUUAUAUGUAGCUAAAUCAUGAUCCAUGCCAAGCUUAGUGAGGCCUACCUCUUUCUCAGAAUAAACAUUCACUUGUUUCAGA